GUGGUUGGUAGUAAUGAAACAAUUUGUGAUAUAUUUCGAGUGUUAACCUGAACUCUUCUGGCCCGAUUCCAAUUGAAAUUAUGCAAUUUAACGAAAUAAGCUGAAAUAAUGCAAAUUUCCAUGAUUUUGUUAUGUACUUAGUACUGUUGCAAAUUACAGGUGUAAGAGGGACGAGGUUUAAUUUUACAUCCGUAGCAAAUUAAUGGGUGGCUGGUGACCUCUUCCUAUAUUUAGCUGACAGCAACUCAAUUGAGAGUUUCAGACAUCAGUCUAAGCAGCAACCACACACAUAGAACUUGCUAGUGUACGUACAAUGACGGAACAACCCAAGAGAUAUUGCUUUCGGAUCAUACUAGCCGACAAUGUCGGCUAUAUACGACCCUUCGGGAUGAAAGGAUUGUGGCAAAUAAAUUCUGAUGUACUACACAUGAGGAGCUAUACUGAUCUAAAUGAACAGCUUGAGGAUUGAUAUGGACUGGUUCACUACGGGAUUAAGGGGAUUAAG